rnacentral:rRNA from 1 species
CCUACGGGGGGCAGCAGUGAGGAAUAUUGGUCAAUGGGAGGAAUCCUGAACCAGCCAUGCAGCGUGCAGGAUGACGGCUCUACGAGUUGUAAACUGCUUUUGUACCGGGGUAAAAUGCUCUACGAGUAGGGUUUUGUAAGUACGGUACGAAUAAGGAUCGGCUAACUCCGUGCCAGCAGCCGCGGUAAUACGGAGGAUCCGAGCGUUAUCAGGAUUGAUUGGGUUUAAAGGGGGCGUAGAUGGUUUUUUAAGUUAGCUGUGAAAUACCGAUGCUCAACAUCGCGGCUGCCGCUGAUACUGUAGGACUAGAGUACGGUUGCAGCAGGCGGAAUGUGUAGUGUAGCGGUGAAAUGCAUAGAUAUUACGCAGAACUCCGAUUGCGAAGGCAGCUUGCUAGGCCGGAUCUGACACUGAUGCACGAAAGCGUGGGGAUCGAACAGGAUUAGAUACCCCAGUAGUC